AACCAAACCAUCAGAUGGAUACCUGUCUUGCACACACGCAGUCUGUGAAGUAACUCAAGGUUUGAUAAAUCAACAACCUAUUUAAAGAAGCAACACCAGGCUCAGUUUGUGCUGCUUCAAUUAAUUGGCAACCUAUUUAAAGGGGCAAAACCCGUUCAAGCUGGUGUGGUUUCGAGAGGGGAACGGUAGAGUGAGGUCAGGAUGCUGGUGGCUCUCUAGUUUGCUGCUUUGUACUAGGUUGGUGCUGAAUGUCCUUCACUAGGAAAUUCAUCUGUUAAAACUUUGUCAACUGGGAUCGGUUUGCGAACACCUACCAUGCAUGAAAUGUGUCUUAGAAGAUGGAGGAGAAUAAGAACGGGACUCUGUCUUCUAGGAACCUAUGAUCAGGCGUAAUAACUGAAGUUAUUUGAUGAAUGCGCUGGACAGGGGAUAUGUGUCUUUGAGUAUGGCAUCUGAGAGGAGCAGCCGUAACAGUUCCUGACCUGUACAUUUCCAAGUUUGUGUCAUGUGAUCAUGGUACCCGGCACAACAUCCUCUAUGAGACUCCAGAAGUGCUGAGAUAGAGUUGCCUUGUCCUAAAGAUAAAGCUCUCAGAUAUAUGGUAAACUGUCUAAGGUUUCACCUCCCUGGGAGAGAAAACCAGUCGGAAUCACAGUAGGAACUGUGGAUUUUUCAACGUAUGUAAAGAAACGGAGCUUCUGACUCCCAGGUAAGGAUUUCCUUGUUCAACCUUCUUGGCACCUGCGCUCCAGGAGGCCGAGCGGCUUACUGGCCACUGCGUAGGACUCUGGCACAGGCUGUCCUCCAUCCUUCUGCUUAAAAUGCCCCUCCGCCAUCUCCCUGUGCCCUUCAUCCAAGGUCCAGUUCAAAGUCAGCCUUCUCCAUGAGGCCCUUGUGAAUUCUCCCUCAUCUUACCCUUCCCUCAACUCCCAGAGCUAGGUGCCCAGCCUCUCCCAGACAGAUCUGCUUUCUUUCCUGAGGUGCUGUGCUUCCUCCAACAUAGGAAACAAUUUUAAGGUCAGGAUUUUCUGGUCCACGUGGGUCCAACCCGUGGUUUGAAUACAGCCAUUUAGGGUAGCACAGGGGCUUUCAUAGUGGUCUGCCUUGGAUUGAACCCUAGCCCCCCCACCCUUGUCUGCUAGAUGUGUAACUCGGGAUGAGGCAUCCUGGCUCUGCCUCAGUUUCUACAUCUGUAAAGUGGGGACAAUAAACAGCCAACAUCUAACAGUGGUUGGGAGGAGCACACCUGACAGCACAAAAGCCAGGCUGGGAAAAAGCCCUGCUUCCCAUGUUAGUGGCCGUGACCAUCGUCACCACCAUCACAUGAGACCGCAGUGCGUAUCUGGUGGGGAAUAAACAUGCAAGCAGUCACCAGAGGAAGCAGAGAAAGGGCUGCUGGGGAAAGGGGCCUCUCAGGAGUUGGCUUUAAAAAAAAAAAGAAUGAUGGACAAUUAGCAGAGUGGUAGUUGGAGGUAAAUAGACCUUUAAAACACUUAAACAGCCUAAAUGUGUCACCUCUCAUCUUGUUUAUAUGGUCAAUUUGCUUAACCAACUCUUCCUUCGUCACUCUCCCUGUCUUAAUGAUCACAACUCUGAAGGAGGUGGGGCCAGAUGAAGCAGGAGUUACUGUAACAAUGAAAAGGAGGAGGAGGAAUAGCAACACUUCAGAGAUUCUCACCCUGGAUUCUGUAACCCACCUGUGUCCUUUUCUUUACAGAAGUGGAAUUUAGAAAGCUGAAGAUGCGCUAUCACUUUAGUCAUGGGUCUAAGAGCCCACUGUCAGAAUGUCACUUUUCUCAAAGGAGAAUCCGGGUCCCCAAGCAAGAACCCUCUGAAAAAAAUGGUGCAAUGCACCCAAGGCUGCAGGCAUGGUGUGCGGAGGGCAGAUGUGCCGUCCUAAGCACAAGCCCUGCCUGGGGAGUCCAUGGGGGGAGUGGAGGGAGCAGGAGGAAGGACAGCUGCCAGGAAGCUGUGUGUUGGUUAAUGUGAUUUUCAUUCCUUUACUCAUACCUCCUCCACUGCUACUUCUCAAAAACUAGGGAUAUUUGGCACAUGACAGUAUUGGAAAAACAAAAAAGCCACCAGAAAGAAUCUCCUGGACACAUGAUCAACCAGAAGGAAAGGGCAGUGUUGGCCACAGUAGCAAAUCCAGCAGAAAGCACCUGAGCUACACCCCAAAUCCUCCCCUUCGUGAGCUGUGCAUUAGAAAUGUCAUAGAGAGUGGAGACAUGGCUGCUCAUCAGGACAGCAGACUUGGGUUAGAAACAUCCUGGUGUGGGGGCAGGGGGACAACAGCACAAACUUUCUACAUGUCCCUGUCUUGACACCAUUUCAUUAUUUAAGUGUAAACACACGCACACCUACAACACCAAAGGUUCCUUAAAUCCAGGAGAUUCUAAAAUUGGCGCUGAUUCCCUAUUUUCAGUCCCUUCCUGCUGCUGCUUCCUUGGUCCACAGGACACACAAAAAACACUUGGCCUCACAGAAGGGCUGCCCACUUCAGUCCCUGGCUAGCCGGUGAUAGAGUUUCCCACACUUCCAGAGCCGAGGGCCUUUUCCUCUCAAGCACCACCCCUCCACGGUUGAUUACAAACCCCGCUAGACCGUCUUCCUGACGUCAAGUCUGUGUUUAACAAGGGCUGUGAUUGACAGCCCAGGAAUGGGAGGUGUCUGCUUUCCAUAUGUUUUAUCCUUAUUUAAGCCCAUUAUAAGUUAUGUGCGCUUAAGCAUUAUAUCCUUAGUUUGCCAGCUGAAGGUGUACGAGGGUAACAAAGCAUUAUUUUUAGCCGAAAAAGAGACUUGCAUGAAUGGGUGGCUCCCUUUGUGGGGUGGGCAUUUUCCUGUCAUGCAUAAUGUUGCCUGAAAUGCAGUUCCACAGCCUGAUUAGCUUCCUCUUCCCUCUAAGAAGGUGGCUUUGCCAGUGCAUGUUUCAGGGAGUGGCACUGGCACUGACCUUGGCUGUGCUGGGCAGACUGGCCAGCAGGUUUCUGAGGAAGGUGCUGCAGUGCCCUCAUGGAGUCAGAAAGGCAGAGUGAGGAAGGCACUCAGGUUCAGGAGCCACACAGAUUUGAUUCAGUUUUGGCUCCAUCCUCUCUAGAUAUGUGACCUUGAGCAAACUGGGGGGCCUUAAUUUCCCCAUUAUAUAAUGGGAACAGUACCCACCUCACAGGGGCUUUGAGAGAAAGCAUUUAAGUUUAGGGUCCUGUACAGAAAACAUGUAUGUAAGUAUAUGGAAAUAGGCAUAAGCUGGAGUUCGCAUUGUGGCUCAGCAAAAAUGAAUCCUACUAGUAUCCAUGAGGAUGCAUGUUGUACCCCUGGGCUCGCUCAGUGGGUUAAGGAUCUGGCAUUGCUGUGAGCAGUGG